UCAGAAAAAAAUGAUAGCCUAAAAAAGUAACUAGCAACAUAGAUUAGCAAAUGGUCAAAAAAGGAAAAAUGGUCCAAGAUUCCCUGAGAAGGAAAAGAAAAACAAAGCCUAGGUACAACCAGGCUGAUACACUAACAGGCUAAGGUUGAACAUGUCAAACGCUCAUGAGAUAAUGUUAAAUCAGAAAAGCCUGCAAAAAUUGCAUUGAAAAAGGCAACUUACAGCAGCAUCUCCGUUGAAUCAGAAGCGUAUAAGAACACUCUUUAAACAGUCAACGACAUUUGAAAUAACACCAGAGUUACACUAUUAAUCAAGAAGCCCUCUUAGGAGGUGCCAUGUUUUUAAUAAGAGAAAUGGUUGUACCAAUAACGAAAAAUUGUACCACAAAUCCUGCAGAACAAGGACAUGGUCAAUACACCAAUUGUAUGCAGCAUAUGAUGAGAACCAGCUUUGCAAUAUGAAGCUCACCUAGUAGGACAGCUGCAAUCUUUAGAGUCUCCAAACUUGUAAAAUUUUGAAAAGCCUACAGAAAAACAUCAGUAGAUAUUUUUCAAUCAAGCCAAAAUGAUAGCAAGAAAUCAGAAAGAAACAAAUACACAAUAACAUCGUUAGAUUACUUUUAAUCAUGCCCAAAUAAUAGCAAGAAAUCAAAGAAAGAAGCAAAUACACAAAUAACAUCAUUAGAUUACUUUUAACCAAGCCCAAAUGAUAGCAAGAAAUCAAAGAAAGAAGCAAAAUCACAUAAAAUCAGAAGGAACAACUAACUUCUUGCAAAUGAGAGAGGAUUAUUUUAAGUGGUUUGACUAGUUUGAAAGAAGGAAAAAGUGAAUUGUCUGUAAAGAUAGUGUUUUGUGAACUUCAAAUAAGUUAUCGUACUUAUUGCUUGAUUCCAUUCUUUUACUUCCAUAUUAACCAAUAAACCCCUAAGAAAGCUAUUUGAAAAUUGGAAUACUGUCAAAGCCACUUUCCAACAUCAUGGACAAUGAGAUAGAACUAUCAAGUGGUCACUUUGAUGCUAAAAAGAGGCAACCAUAUAGUGAAAGAGGGAAUGAGAGCUGGUGAACACAGCAGGGGAUCUUCGACAAAGGAUACAGAGGGAAUGAAGAGACGGGUGAACACGAGCAGGGAAUCUUCAACAAAGGAUACAAAGGGAAUACCAGGUGGUGAGGGUGAUAGUAAGGAGGGGCGACAACAGAGUCUUAAGGAAGAGGAAGAGAAAAGUGGAACCCUUUUUUUUUUCUCCUUUUCUCAUUGGGCAUAAAUAGAGUAAAAGGAACCAUAACAAGCUACCUUCCUUCAAACAAGAACUGUCACAAACAACCAGCAUAUAUGGAUGUUGAGAUAUUUUGGUCUCUCUGUGGAUUAGUGACUCGGGUUAUACUCUCCUUUUACCCUUUUUCAGAAACGGGGUGGAGGAAGGACUAGCAUUAUAAACUUAUCUAUUUUUUAAAACAAGUUGACGAGAAACUACCAGAAAGACCAUACUCUUGCAAUAAAAUUAUCCACGGUGUAAAUGGGGAGAUAAAUGGAUGGCUACGGCCCUGCUGAAAGAUCAGUUCCCUGAACUGUUUGCAAUUGCCCAAUACAAGUAAGCUUCCUUGGCUUAUCUGAGAUUAGCAUAUCUGGAGGAUAUAAUUCAGAAGGAAUUUUAACGAUUGGGAACUGGAUAGAGUGACUGAAUAUUUUGCAACUUUAGAACCUUUCCAGCAGUUAUUCAUAAUAAAGACAGAAUUGCAAUAAGCCAGGAAAAAAUGGACUGUUAUCUGUCAAAUCUUACUACAAGGUACUCACUGGAAGCACAAAACCGAACUCACGUCGGCCAUGGCAAAGAAUAUGGAAGACAAAGGCCCCAUACAAAGUUGCUUGUUUCACAUGGUUGGUAGCUAGAGAGGUAUGUCUAAGUCAAGACAACCAACAGAGAAGGAGCCUAAAUUUAUGUAACAGGUGUUACCUUUGUGGUUAGCAAUCAGGGAGUAUAAAGCACAGGUUCCUACACUGUUCCAGAACCAACGUACUUUGGAAAAUAUUUUGAAUUACACUUGGCUCAUGCCUGGAUCAAUAGCAGAAGCCUUGAGGAGCUGGAUAGGGAAGGGGGAAUGAUAGAAUGUCAAUAUAAAUGGUGGAGCAAGCAAACCCCCCCCCCCCCCCCAAUGCAUUUAGUGGACUAUUUUGGGCAACAUUUGAAGUUGAAGUUGGGAAAAAACCUUUUUGAAGUAGAAAUUGGAAAACAAGUUGGUGGAAGUUGAAAUUGUGUUAAAAGCCGCGUUUUUUUUGGUAAAAGAGUUUGUGGUAGUUGAAAAUUUGUGAGUGGAUGUUGAAGAUUUUAGAGAAACUUCACUUCAAAUACACCUUGACACCAGUACACCACAACUUCAAAAUCUUGAGUUAAGGAAUUCAACAAUCAAGUGCCACCUAAAGAUCAUCCUAGUAAAUCUAGUUUCUCUAAUUCUUCAAUUGGGUGUUGAUAUCCAUUAACUCUUUCAGCCAAAAUUGUGCAUUUGAGUCCCAAGAAAGUGUUGCAACAUCAGUGCCUGUAGUAUCUCAUAAAGUCAGAUGCAAGUGCCUUCUGCUAUACGUGAUAACUUAUCAUGCAGCAACAGCUGCACCUAUUGGAACAUAAAACAUACAGAUAAAAUGAACCCAACCUAGGCUAAGUUUGAAUCCUUCUAAAUCCGACAUUGUUGUGCCUACGCCAAUUUAGGGAUAAAGUGAAGAAACACCGGCAGCAAGAAACAUUGAGGGCACUCUUUACUUAAUUAUUUGUUUUCUUCACAACUUCAUGUAUUAAGUCUUCAUACACCAGUCUGGUGCUUAGUUUGCUGAAAUUUCAGCAGCAAAAACUUCGCAGAGCAUACGUUGAACAGCCUAUCCUGGAUUUCAGAGGAACAAUGGAGAAGAACGCAUCUUUACACUACCAUUAGUCUUGAAAACAUCUUUAUCAAAGUCACAUACCCACAAAAAAAAAGAGAAAGUAUGUGCUGCAGAUUAUGGGUAAGCGGGAGAAAAAAAAACUGCAGAUGUUUGAGUACAUAAAGAUAGAGGAAGCAUUUGAUGUACUUAUAUAUGUACCACGAAGCAUUUUUGAAAAAAACUUAAGGCUAUAUACAAUUUAGACACCGUUUCUUGAGUUCUUGUCUUCAUUUCAGGAGUUAUAGGGGAAAUGCAAUCUCUUU
rnacentral:lncRNA from 1 species